rnacentral:tRNA from 1 species
CGGGGCGUAGCUCAGUUUGGCAUGAGAGCGCUUGGUUUGGGACCAAGAGGUCGACAGUUCAAGUCUGUCCGCCCCGA